rnacentral:lncRNA from 1 species
UCUCAACUCACUGCAAACUCCGCCUCCCAGGUUCAAGCAAUUCUCUUGCCUCAGUCUCCUGAGUAACUGAGAUUACAGAUGCCUGCCACCACACGAAGCUAAUUGGUUGGGUGUGGUGGGGCUUUCCAAUGAUUACUUAUUAAUGAUUACUUAUGAAAAACAACAACAACAAAAAAGCCAUCUUGAAGCUGCUUUUAAUGAGAAAACAAAUGUGCUCCCAAGCAACAGAGCAGCGAAAUUCUUUAUUACUGGAUUCUAACUUUCCUCUCUAACUGUAACUGUCUCAGCUCCACUUCAUGUGACCUGGAGGGUAUGUUGCAACCUGCGUCUUCACCACCCAUUCAUGAAGAUCUAUAAAACUAAUGUAAACUGCUGGGGCAAUUUCAACAUGAGUCAACUGGAGAUUGUUACUUGGUGAGAAUGCGCAAGUGGCAAAGAUCUAAAUUUGUUCAGCUAAUUUGUAAUUAACCUUCGCUUCUCACAUGUCAGUAUGUGAAGUGUCUGGUUUAAGCAAUUUAUCCAAAAAAGCCAUAGACUCUUUAAAUAACAACAAAACCUGGGCCUGGAAUUUUAUAAAGGCAGAAUGAGUAAGACACGGUUUCGGUGUGCUUUUUUAAAGAAAACAGGGUCUUGCUCUGUUGCCCAGGAUGAAAUGCCAUGCUGCAUUUACAGCUCACUGCAGCCUUGACCUCCCACCUCAGCUUCCAGAGGAGCUGGGAUUACAGGUGUGCACCACCACGCCCAGCUAAUUUAAAAAAUUUUUGUAGAAACAGGGUGUCACUGUGUUGCCCAGGCUGGUCUCCAGCAAUCCUCUGGCCUUGACCCCCUAAAGUGUGGGGAUUACACGCACGAGCAACUUGCCACUUACUAUCUGACUGUGACCUGGAACCAGAAAGGAGAUUCCGAGAGUGUGCUCAAUCAAUCACAAACUGACCUUUUUCAUGGGUUUCUUGAACUCCUGUAGCUCUUCAGCACUCAUGCCUUCCCAUACCUGAUAAAUAGGAUCAAUGAAUUUCUUUGACCUGUCAACAAAGAUCACAUUUCAAAGUCAAGUUAAAUACUUCAGCAGAAGUCAAAAUUGGUUUGGAUCUUUUCUCACAAGAUCUAUUACCCAAAACCAAGAAGUGAAAACUACAGCUUAAAUAAUUACAUUAAAAAAAACCUGGCUGGGCGCAGUGGCUCACGCCUGUAAUCCCAGCACUUUGGGAGGCUGAGGUGGGCAGAUCAUGAGGUCAGGAGAUCAAGACCAUCCUGGCUAACACGGUGAAACCC